rnacentral:lncRNA from 1 species
UUGUAUUACAAAUAUCAGUGUGAAAAAUUUGGUUACAAAACCUGUGAAACUAAAGGGAGAUUCCAUCCCUAUCUGGCGGCUUGUGAUGUGGCAAGGUCUUUGACUUUUCCAUGCUGUACCUGAAGGGCCAGGCAGUGCCUCUGGGGACAUCCCCUUGGAUCUAUUCUGAUGUCCACUGGCACAGGACGGCCACUUACUUGUGCAGGAGGUGGAGCAGACAUGGCUGAAAUCUGAGCCUCCCAGUGGGGGAGAACUUUUGUGGUUAGCCCCUUGGAUCUAUUCUGAUGUCCACUGGCACAGGACAGCCACUUACUUUGCAGGAGGUGGAGCAGACAUGGCUGAAAUCUGAGCCUCCCAGUGGGGGAGAACUUUUGUGGUUGUUUUGAUUUGGGUCUUAGGUUUUCCAUAUGCCAGUUCUUUAACAGGCAUGGGUGGGAAGCCAAGGUGUUGCACGGAAUUUCACUUUACAUUAUUAAAAGAGACUCCCCAUGAUGGGUGUUGUCAGCAUAGAUGUACUAAUUUGCAACAACAGUUUCCUAUUUAAAACCACGAAAGAUUUAGGCAGGAGUUUUCCUCGAUGGGAGUUUCUUAUCCUGAAAGUGAGAUACUGCUAAGUGACAUGGACAAAAUAUUUGCCAUCUCUGGACCUCGGUUAAUCUCUAUGUUAAAUUUCAGUUGAAUGAUUGACAAAGUCAUUGGUGCUUUGUCAAACCAAUGAUAGUUUGCUUUCUAGAAUAAGUAAAUGGCUUUAAGGAAGCUCUCCUGUGGGGUGCUGUGAGAUUUCACCUAUUGAGGGACAUGUGCCUGCCAGAUCUUUUUUCUUUCUCAUUGAGUUUAUUGGUACAUUUUAGGUACACAGUACAGUUACAUUCAUCAUUGGGCUCUGGUACCUUUACAUGACCGGUCUUGGUUCUCAUUUUUUCCCCAUAUUCCUACCCUGUCUUUACCCCCUCCUCUUUCCCUAUUUACAAAGAAUAUGUUUCCAUUUUUUCCUUUUCUCAUAUUUUUUCUUUCCCCUUAUUUCCUUUCCCCUACCCCUUUGCACUUCCCCUACACCUUUAGCCCUUUUCUUCCUAUUUCACAUUUGUCAGUUAUACAAUUUCCUACCAGAAGAUCUUGCAGUGACCCUUCAGGCCUUGCCUGGAUCCCUACUUACCUAAUGAGGACAAUCACUGAGGAUGGCUUUUUCUGGCACUGUUUUCCAAGAGCAGAGGAUGCAAUAAGUUCUGGAUUUAAAGGGCCCGAUUUCCCGCAAUGGAGUGUAUUUCCGGGCCAUUGUGAGACCUGCGCAGAGGGCACAAGGACAGCCUACAGGACCCAGAGCUUGGUGGGGGCACGAACAGCCUAGAAAUCUCCUUUCUUGAAGUCCAGAGGCCCAAGGGCAGAGGAUUAGUUUGAACGCGCUGCUCCUUCCUCUGGUAGGCCUAUUACUUCUCUCCUAACAGCAAUCCCCCCACCGGCCUCCUGGGGAAGCAUGACUUCCUUGUGUGGUGGCUGUGUCUCUCAGCUCAGCAAGCAGAGGAAGCCCUCUGGUCUACAAAUACCACUGAAGGAGGGUGUUGAGGGGACACCUCUGUCAAGGCCAGGCCAAGCUCCCCGGGGAAAUGUCUUGCUAUAAUGGAGGAAAUCACCCCGGGGUCAGAGGGGAGCCCAUGGCCAAGCAGUUCAUUACAGUUACAAGAGUGAAGACUUAUAAUCUGCCUGCUUUUUGUGAAGACCGGAGGCACCUUCUCCAUAACCAGCAGGGCAAAGACACACGGAGGUUAAACUGAUGCAAUCCCCGAGUCUCUUGACAAGGAGCAGGGGCGCCAAGCUUGCAGACAAGAGGCUAGCAGUGAUUACACUCAAGCACUAAAUUUGGUUCACUUAAUCAAACAGUGCAUGGGCCUGGUACAGUCGUAGUCUGCGUAUGGCCCUCUCUGAAAAGGGUUUCAAGUGGCUUAGUCUUUCCUUCUGAAUGCCUGUGACCUUUGAUCAUCUGUUCUUGUCCAGCAUUUGUAAUAACCAUCUACUCUGUACUGUAUUUGUGGUGGCUUCGUUCAUUGGAUACUUUGAUGGUGUGUAAGUAAUUUACAAGCUUUACCUCUUUGAAUCCCUCCAACGACCUAAUGAUCUGGGUACCACUGUUAGGUCCAGUUAACACAUGAAUAAACUGAGUAUGUUUGAAUCUAGAUGCUUGUAACUCUUUUUUUUUUCCCAUGAAGUUUAUUGGUACAUUUUAGGUAUACAGUACGGUUACAUUCAUCGUUAGGCUCUUGUACCUUUACAUGAUGCAUCUUGGUUUGUAUUUUUCCCCGUUUCCCUGCCCUCCCUCCAUCCCCCUCCACCUUUUCUAUUUACAAAGACUUUGUUUUCAUGUUUUUCCUUUUCUCAUAUUUUUUCUUUUCCCUUAUUUCCUUUCCCCUGUCC